rnacentral:lncRNA from 1 species
AGAUGCUAAGCCUGGAAACCCACAGGAAACAUGUUAUUCUUCAGUAUUUGCAAAGCACUGAUCAAAAACAUCUCUCUUCUCUCAAUCUUGCUUCCUUCUUUUCAUUUACUAAAUAGGCUUUUGAGCCUUACAAGACUUUGAGAUUUUAUGGAUAUGAAACCUGCUAUCAUUUAGCUUCCUGCCUCUGGGAAUAG